rnacentral:rRNA from 1 species
CACCGGCGGCCCGAGUGGUAACCGCUAUUAUUGGGUCUAAAGGGUCUGUAGCCGGCCAAGUAAGUCCCUUGGGAAAUCUGGCAGCUUAACUGUCAGGCUGCCAGGGGAUACUGUUUGGCUUGGGACCGGGAGAGGUGAGAGGUACCUCAGGGGUAGGGGUGAAAUCUUGUGAUCCUUGAGGGACCACCAGUGGCGAAGGCGUCUCACCAGAACGGGUCCGACGGUAAGGGACGAAAGCUAGGGGCACGAACCGGAUUAGAUACCCGGGUAGUCCUAGCCGUAAACGAUGCUCGCUAGGUGUCAGUCACGGUGCGACCGUGAUUGGUGCCGUAGGGAAGCCGUGAAGCGAGCCACCUGGGAAGUAUGGCCGCAAGGCUGAAACUUAAAGGAAUUGGCGGGGGAGCACAACAACGGGUGGAGCGUGCGGUUU